rnacentral:lncRNA from 1 species
GUAGUGACAUGGAGUACUAUUUCAGUCAACCUAAAACCCCUGUAACUACCAUGAAUUCCGACAUUUUGAGGUAUAUUAAGGAACAGAUCGUUGCCAUACGGACUGGAUACAAAGAAUUCACACAAGAGAUCCGUGAGCUCAGGCAAAAUUCUAGGACCCCUACACCGCCAACCCCUGUUGCAGCCCAACCUAAAAUCGGUUUGGUUGCACCACCUGUAACCCUUCCCCAUUCUCUUG